UACGGAGGGUGCGAGCGUUGUCCGGAAUCAUUGGGCGUAAAGGGCGCGUAGGUGGCGCGGUAAGCGUGCGGUGAAAGCCUGGGGCUCAACCCCGGGUCGGCCGUGCGAACUGCUGGGCUUGAGCACUGUAGAGGCAGGCGGAAUUCCGGGUGUAGCGGUGGAAUGCGUAGAGAUCCGGAAGAACACCGGUGGCGAAGGCGGCCUGCUGGGCAGUUGCUGACACUGAGGCACGAAGGCUAGGGGAGCGAACGGG
rnacentral:rRNA from 1 species